UCCCUGGUAACUGUGACGGUAAAGAAUCUGCCUGCAAUGCAGAAGACCCAGGUUCAGUCCCUGGGUCGGGAG
rnacentral:tRNA from 1 species